rnacentral:lncRNA from 1 species
CACAAAAUGAAAGGGGAGCUGCCCGGAGGCUCUGUCCUCCUUGUGCGCGGUUGCUGCCUGCCUUGGAGGCAAAGGCUUGCGGCAUUUUAGGAUCGCAGAGGAACGUGGGGAGGACCACAGAUUUCUGCUUCCUUCUCCAGCUCCCUUCCAGGUCUGACCAUCUGCCGAGCACGGCCGGGAGCUGCAAACAGAAAACAGCACUGAAGGCAGCACCACCCUGGAGUCCUCCCAGCCAUGAGGCCAGUCAGCUCUUUGCACCUUCCUACACAUCCUGGAAUCCAUGUGUUAACUUCGAAGUUUCUCAGAAGUCACCCCAAUGGAACAGACGCUUCGCGAGGGAUGGCUGUGUGUUGGCUCUGAUCCUGCCCCGGCCCUUG